rnacentral:rRNA from 1 species
AGCUCCAAUAGCGUAUAUUAAAGUUGUUGCGGUUAAAAGCUCGUAGUUGGAUUUCUGUUGAGGUCGGCCGGUGUACACCUCGUGUAUUAUUGUGUUCGGUCUCGACAUCCUCUUGGGGAACGUUUCUAUCCUUUAUUGGACUGGACGGGAUUCAAGACUUUUACUUUGAGGAAAUUAGAGUGUUCACGGCAAGCAAGUGCUUUGAAUACAUUAGCAUGGAAUAAUAAUAUAGGACCUUCGUUCUAUUUUGUUGGUUUCUAGAACUUAGGUAAUGAUUUAAUAGGGACAAUUGGGGGCAUUCGUAUUAACGCGUCAGAGGUGGAAGUUCUU